rnacentral:rRNA from 1 species
UACGGAGGGUGCAAGCGUUAUCCGGAUUCACUGGGUUUAAAGGGUGCGUAGGUGGGGAUGUAAGUCAGUGGUGAAAUCUCUGAGCUUAACUCAGAAACUGCCAUUGAUACUAUGUUUCUUGAAUUUUCUGGAGGUCAGCGGAAUAUGUCAUGUAGCGGUGAAAUGCUUAGAUAUGACAUAGAACACCAAUUGCGAAGGCAGCUGACUACAGGGAUAUUGACACUGAGGCACGAAAGCGUGGGGAUCAAACAGG